GCCUCUUCCUUCUUCAGCCACUUCACAAAUCUUUCAGGUCAGCUUCCCAACUCGGAGGCCAGAGAAGAUCGGAGGCCAGAGAAGAUCUGCAGUGUUCACUAUGGAGCCCCAGCGCUGCAGAGAGAUGGCCCUCGAUGGAAAGGUCUAGAGAGCCAAAGCCAAGAGCGGGUGCACGCCUCAUCCCUGCAAGUCUGUCUGCACACUGAAAGCAGCUGCUCGUCUCAAAGCACAGGUGCCC